rnacentral:tRNA from 1 species
GAAGUUAUAGUAUAAGAUGGAGUAUGUUUUUUUUUCGUGAAAAAGGUUUUAACUUUA